CCUACGGGAGGCAGCAGUGAGGAAUAUUGGUCAAUGGACGAGAGUCUGAACCAGCCAAGUAGCGUGAAGGAUGACUGCCCUAUGGGUUGUAAACUUCUUUUAUAUGGGAAUAAAAUGUUCCACGUGUGGGAUUUUGUAUGUACCAUAUGAAUAAGGAUCGGCUAACUCCGUGCCAGCAGCCGCGGUAAUACGGAGGAUCCGAGCGUUAUCCGGAUUUAUUGGGUGUAAAGGGAGCGUAGGUGGAUUGUUAAGUCAGUUGUGAAAGUUUGCGGCUCAACCGUAAAAUUGCAGUUGAAACUGGCAGUCUUGAGUACAGUAGAGGUGGGCGGAAUUCGUGGUGUAGUGGUGAAAUGCUUAGAUAUCACGAAGAACUCCGAUUGCGAAGGCAGUUCACUGGACUGCAACUGACACUGAGGCUCGAAAGUGUGGGUAUCAAACAGGAUUAGAUACCCUUGUAGUC
rnacentral:rRNA from 1 species